CCGCUUUUUGGUCCUGGGGAUUAGGAGGUAGCCACGCCCACGUCCUAUUCUAAUCAGGCGGCGACCAGCAGUUUCGAAGGGUAGCGCCGGCGGGCGACAGCUAGCCGACGGCAUGCCGAGCAGCCGGUGGGCGCGAGAGGGCGGUGGUCCGUGGGUGUGCGCGAUGGCUUGGUGGUCGGCGUCUAGGCUCGGUGGCAUGUUGCUCGACGCCUCGUCGAGUAGGAUGGCGGCCGGUGAGAGCACCACUGUGUUUCGGCUCCCCGCAUCUGUACCUUUCAUCAGGCGCCUUUGUUGGCCAGUGAGAGCACUACCGUGCUAGGUCCCCUGCACUUCCACCCGGCCACACAUCUCCAGAUUGAUCCAGCCAAGUACGAGAGCAUCUCUUCUGGAUAUGGAGUUCUCUUGAAAGUGCAAGGGGAAAAAGGUUUCUUCAGAGGUUGUGUGCCUACUUUGAUUGGAUAUAUUGGUUAAGGCAGGUGCAAAUUUUGUGUCUGUGAGUUCUGCCAGAAAUAUUACUCGGGUAUUGUUGUACCUGAGUAUGAAGCAAUUACAAGUCUUUGAUCUAACUUGUUGAUCUGCUUCGGCCGAGGUUAUCGCCGACAAUGCCCUCUGCCCUAUGGAGGUUGUGAAGGUCCGUGUUGAGACGUACUCUAGCUUUUGAAGAGGUUUUUCUGAUGGGCUCCGUAAAGUUUGUGAAGUCUGAAGGAUAUGCUGAGUAAGUUGAGGCAAGUGACCAUAAUACUAAAAUUAGUUGUUCUCUGUAACUAUAAUCCAACACUUCUGGAACUAUGGUAGGUAUGCAGAUUGUACAAGGGAAUUGUCCCACUAUAGGGCAGACAAAUUCUAUGUAAGUAUCUAUUACAUGCCUUAUUGUCACCACAACCCCAGAUUGCUUUUUUAGGAAACAAUCACUACUCUGAAUCAUAUAACCUUGGGACUCCCUAUGACAUGAUUGCUAUUCUAAAUCAUGUAUAAAUGUAGAAAACUAAAUUCACUAUAAGAAUCUCAAUAUCAAGUAACAAUGUUUUGACUAAUAAGGUGUUAUCCUCUAGAGUAUAUGUGACAGUGGGAUCUUUACUUGUGUCAUAUCAGGGGUACAACGGACUGCAUUAAUUAUGUCUUGAUUGUUCUCUUGCAUACACCAAAAUUACCAAGUAUAUGAAUUUGAUUUUGCUUCCAAAUUGUUUCCUCUAGUUUGUUCAAGGAAUACUGUUUUGUUCCUACUUGAGUUGCAACGUGUGACUUCUGGAGGCAAACUCUUCCAUCUAGUGUUGUUCAACAGGUCGUAGAGAGCAAAGUAGUCAGGCUACGACCAGAUGUCCAACAUCUCCAGAACCUUGAUUGGUUAUCUUACAUACCUAAACUCUAUUCUGGAAAGUAGUACAUGUAAUCAUUAGUUCUAGGAGAGUAUGUAGACUGAAUUUGCUAUACUGCAGUCUCGAGCAAAGUAGUCAUGCUUCCAUGUAGAUUGAAUUAGUUCUUCUAGUUUUUGGAUGAAUCCUCUAAGAUAAUUCUGAUUUAAGUAAAUAUCAUCAAUCCACCUAAUGGGAGAACAUUUAUAUUUAGUUCGAUCAAAUGUAAUCUUUGUACAGUAACAUUUCGACCUAUAUGUGAGAAUUUUGUAGCUCAUUUAUUUCAACAGUAAUGAUUCACUAAGCUCCUAUCUUACCACAUGGUUCGUUUUAUUCACCACAUUUAGAUAUAGAAACCCUUAUUCACCAAGCUCCUAGCACCCUUUGUGUUUUUAGAUCAAUUCUUCUGCAAAAAAAAUUGAAUUGUUGGUCUGAAACCAAAAUUGUUUUGAAAGAAACUGAAUUUCGCUAUCUGCUCAUUUUCUACCAUCUACACUAAUACAACAUGUGGUACAUGCCAGAGAACAUAUUGUUUAUAACAAAUUUCAGCAUUGGGCAUCAUUCUGUUGUUGUUUGGAUCACGUGCUGUUAUUUUCGUUCAUAGCAUUCAUGAUUUGAGUUUCUGUAAAGGUAUCUGAAAUAGAACAUAUUUUUGAUAAAUGAUUUGUGAUGCAUUCUUUUGCGCACCUAACUGCCUACUUAGAAAACAAAAUUCGAAGUAGCUGCAUUCACUAUACUGUGGAGUGUGUAUAGAUGCCAGAAUAGUUGCAUGCUUGCUUCCUACUAAUCAGUUUUUACACUGUAGGUAGCUCAUCUAUAAGUACCUUGAUAACAGUAGGCUGAUAUUAAUACAUUUACCAACUUUGUAAAAACACAAGGAUCUUUGACAGCACAGAGUUAUGCUGAGAGGGUGUUCGAGGCUAUCAUUCAGGAGUUUCAAUCUGGGAGAGCUGCAGGUGGGUUGUCUUUUUUUCACGAAUACGCAAAGCUUGCGUAUCAUUCAUUGAUAGGGAGAAGAGUUGUUGUACAUGAGAGUUAUGUAGUGGGCAUUAGGGCAAUGCGUACACAUCAGAUGGUGCAAAACCUAGCGCGAGCAUGUUGGAUAUUGGGUGAGCUCAGCCCCAUCCUAGCCUACGGCGCCUACGGUGUGAUGAUGGCUAGUCCCUUUGACCCCUGCCUUGGCCCAUGAGUGAGCCUCCUCUUGGACAUCCUGGAGAAGCUUGGUCGGAGAGGGUGCGGUGCCGUCAAAGCUGCAGGACUUGCGAUGCUUUCAUAUGGACCAGGCGAUCAGGAGAGUGAGCGAGGAGAUGCCUUUAUGAUGCGCCGCCGGAACGGCCAACGUGGUAGCGUGCCACCAGUCCAGAAAUUGGUCAGUAUGUGUGGGCGCGGGAGCCUGGGGUAGCACCAGCUGAAGGAGUCGUGCUACACCUAUCGCGAAAAUGGGCAUCCCACCAGCAGAUGGUCCAUGGACUCGCUAGCCUGGGUUGUCUUCUUUCUGAAUCAUGUUUUUGUUGAUUUCUCCUCGCUCGGAGUGUAUUAGAGGUCAUGAUCAGUACAGUUCCAGUUCUGUUUUCUCAAGAGCUGACCCUAUAAAUAGUCGCUCCAUGUUUCUUUGUGAUAAUCUAUAAAUUAUUCCCUCUAUUUCCA